AAUCCAUGGUGCGGGCAUUUUUGAAUUAACAUUUUAAACCAUUCCCAUGCCUCAUAGAAAAUUUCUCCCUCCAUCUGUCUAAAAACAACAAGCUCUCUUCUUAGUUG
rfam:Gossypium hirsutum cultivar TM-1 chromosome 7, whole genome shotgun sequence